AUUGAACGCUGGCGGCAUGUUUAACACAUGCAAGUCAAACGGCAGCACGGUCCAGUUUACUGGAUGGGUGGCGAGUGGCGGACGGGUGAGUAACGCGUAGGAAUAUACCCUUUGGAGGGGGAUAACUUGGGGAAACUCACGCUAAUACCGCAUAAUCUCUGAGGAGGAAAGAUGGGGACCUUCGGGCCUGUCGCUAGAGGAAUAGCCUGCGUCUGAUUAGCUAGUUGGUGGGGUAAAGGCCUACCAAGGCGACGAUCAGUAGCUGGUCUGAGAGGGUGAUCAGACACACUGGGACUGAGACACGGCCCAGACUCCUACGGGAGGCAGCAGUGGGGAAUAUUGGACAAUGGGGGCAACCCUGAUUCAGCAAUGCCGCGUGUGUGAAGAAGGCCUGAGGGUUGUAAAGCACUUUCAGUGGGGAGGAGGGUUGUUUGGUUAAGAGCUGAAUGACUGGACGUUACCCACAGAAGAAGCACCGGCUAACUCCGUGCCAGCCGCCGCAGUAAAAC
rnacentral:rRNA from 1 species